GACAGAGGGUGCAAACGUUGUUCGGAAUUACUGGGCGUAAAGCGCGUGUAGGCGGUUCGUCAAGUCAGGUGUGAAAGCCCUGGGCUUAACCCAGGAAGUGCACUUGAAACUCACGAACUUGAGUCCCGGAGAGGAAGGCGGAAUUCUCGGUGUAGAGGUGAAAUUCGUAGAUAUCGAGAGGAACAUCGGUGGCGAAGGCGGCCUUCUGGACGGUGACUGACGCUGAGACGCGAAAGCGUGGGGAGCAAACAGG
rnacentral:rRNA from 1 species